rnacentral:sRNA from 1 species
UUGACAGCUCUGGAGACUCAUAAGAACACAAACAGAAAGGACAACAACAAUGCAAGCUUCCUCCUCAAGCUGUCCCUUCACAAUGUGCCUCCACCCUGGCCUGGAGGAACCACUUCAAUGACUGUGGGGAGUUCAGUCUCUGUGGACUCUCAGUUAAGACUACA